rnacentral:tRNA from 1 species
GCCCCUGUGGCGGAAUGGUAGACGCAGUUGACUCAAAAUCAACCGAAGAGAUUCGUGCUGGUUCAAGUCCAGUCAGGGGCACCA